rnacentral:rRNA from 1 species
AUUGAACGCUGGCGGCAGGCCUAACACAUGCAAGUCGAGCGAGCGGCGGACGGGUGAGUAAUGUAUGGGGAUCUGCCCGAUGGAGGGGGAUAACUACUGGAAACGGUAGCUAAUACCGCAUACUAUCGGAUGAACCCAUAUGGGAUUAGCUAGUAGGUGAGGUAAUGGCUCACCUAGGCGACGAUCCCUAGCUGGUCUGAGAGGAUGAUCAGCCACACUGGAACUGAGACACGGCCCAGACUCCUACGGGAGGCAGCAGUAGGGAAUAUUGCGCAAUGGGCGCAAGCCUGACGGAGCAAUGCCGCGUGAGUGAAGAAGGCUUUCGGAUUGUAAAACUCUGUUAGUGGAGAAGCGGUAUCUACAGAGAAAGCCACGGCUAACUACGUGCCAGCAGCCGCGGUAAUAC